rnacentral:rRNA from 1 species
GUGGGGAAUAUUGGACAAUGGGCGCAAGCCUGAUCCAGCCAUGCCGCGUGAGUGAUGAAGGCCUUAGGGUUGUAAAGCUCUUUCAGUAGGGAAGAUAAUGACGGUACCUACAGAAGAAGCCCCGGCUAACUUCGUGCCAGCAGCCGCGGUAAUACGAAGGGGGCUAGCGUUGUUCGGAUUUACUGGGCGUAAAGCGCACGUAGGCGGUUUGUUAAGUCAGGGGUGAAAUCCCACAGCUCAACUGUGGAACUGCCCUUGAUACUGGCAAGCUAGAGUCCGGAAGAGGUGAGUGGAACUCCUAGUGUAGAGGUGGAAUUCGUAGAUAUUAGGAAGAACACCAGUGGCGAAGGCGGCUCACUGGUCCGGUACUGACGCUGAGGUGCGAAAGCGUGGGGAGCAAACAGGAUUAGAUACCCUUGUAGUCC